GACAGAGGGUGCAAACGUUGUUCGGAAUUACUGGGCGUAAAGCGCGUGUAGGCGGCUCUGAAAGUCGGAUGUGAAAGCCCUGGGCUUAACCUAGGAAGUGCAUUCGAAACUUCAGAGCUUGAGUCCUGGAGAGGAAGGCGGAAUUCUCGGUGUAGAGGUGAAAUUCGUAGAUAUCGAGAGGAACACCGGUGGCGAAGGCGGCCUUCUGGACAGUGACUGACGCUGAGACGCGAAAGCGUGGGGAGCAAACAGG
rnacentral:rRNA from 1 species